GCCCCGGUAAACGGCGGCCGUAACUAUAACGGUCCUAAGGUAGCGAAAUUCCUUGUCGGGUAAGUUCCGACCUGCACGAAUGGCGUAAUGAUGGCCAGGCUGUCUCCACCCGAGACUCAGUGAAAUUGAACUCGCUGUGAAGAUGCAGUGUACCCGCGGCAAGACGGAAAGACCCCGUGAACCUUUACUAUAGCUUGACACUGAACAUUGAGCCUUGAUGUGUAGGAUAGGUGGGAGGCUUUGAAGUGUGGACGCCAGUCUGCAUGGAGCCGACCUUGAAAUACCACCCUUUAAUGUUUGAUGUUCUAACGUAGGCCCCUUAUCGGGGUUGCGGACAGUGUCUGGUGGGUAGUUUGACUGGGGCGGUCUCCUCCUAAAGAGUAACGGAGGAGCACGAAGGUUGGCUAAUCCUGGUCGGACAUCAGGAGGUUAGUGCAAUGGCAUAAGCCAGCUUGACUGCGAGCGUGACGGCGCGAGCAGGUGCGAAAGCAGGUCAUAGUGAUCCGGUGGUUCUGAAUGGAAGGGCCAUCGCUCAACGGAUAAAAGGUACUCCGGGGAUAACAGGCUGAUACCGCCCAAGAGUUCAUAUCGACGGCGGUGUUUGGCACCUCGAUGUCGGCUCAUCACAUCCUGGGGCUGAAGUAGGUCCCAAGGGUAUGGCUGUUCGCCAUUUAAAGUGGUACGCGAGCUGGGUUUAGAACGUCGUGAGACAGUUCGGUCCCUAUCUGCCGUGGGCGCUGGAGAACUGAGGGGGGCUGCUCCUAGUACGAGAGGACCGGAGUGGACGCAUCACUGGUGUUCGGGUUGUCAUGCCAAUGGCACUGCCCGGUAGCUAAAUGCGGAAGAGAUAAGUGCUGAAAGCAUCUAAGCACGAAACUUGCCCCGAGAUGAGUUCUCCCUGACCCUUUAAGGGUCCUGAAGGAACGUUGAAGACGACGACGUUGAUAGGCCGGGUGUGUAAGCGCAGCGAUGCGUUGAGCUAACCGGUACUAAUGAACCGUGAGG
rnacentral:rRNA from 1 species